CACACAUCCAUACAGUCCACACCAUCACACACACACACACACAUAUCUGUACAGUCCACACCUUCACACAUCCAUACAGUCCACACCGUCAUACACACACACAUCUAUACAGUCCACACCGUCACACAUCCGUACAGUCCACACCGUCAUACAAACACACAUCUAUACAGUCCACACCGUCACACAUCCGUACAGUCCACACCGUCAUACAAACACACACACAUCUAUACAGUCCACAUCGUCACACAUCCAUACAGUUCACACCAUCAUACACACAUCUAUACAGUCCACACCAUCACAUGCACACACAUCUAUAUGGUCUACACCAUCACACACACACACAUCUAUACAGUCCACACUGUUACAUGCACACAUCUAUACAGUCCACACCGUCACAUAUCUAUACAGUCCACACCGUCAUACACACACACAUCUAUACAGUCCACACCGUCACACAUCCGUACAGUCCACACUGUCAAACACACACACAUCUAUACAGUCCACACCGUCACACAUCCAUACAGUCCACACCGUCAUACAAACACACACACAUCUAUACAGUCCACACCGUCACACACACACGCCCACACCCGCAUGCCCACACAUCCAUACAGUCCACAUUCACGUAUGCCCAUAUGCAUCCAUUCACACGUGUGUACACAUGCUCACACACAUUCAUAGACUCCACACAUGCACACGUGCGCACACACGCACAUGCUCGCACACAUGCACAGAUACACUCACGUCCACACACGCUCAAACAUGCGUGCACACCCGGAGGUGCCCAGAGGGGCAGGGUGGG
rnacentral:lncRNA from 1 species